AACGGCCGCGGUAUCCUGACCGUGCAAAGGUAGCAUAAUAACUUGUCAUUUAAUUAAUGACUAGAAUGAAUGGCAAAACGAAAACUUAACUGUCUCUCUUAUUCAAUCAAUGAAACUGAUACUCUUGUACAAAAGCAAGAAUAUUAAUACAAGACGAGAAGACCCUAUGGAGCUUUAAACCCAUUAUCAACUGUAAUAUUAACAAUAACAACUCGAUAAUUGUUUUAGGUUGGGGCGACCACGGAGCAUAAAAAUCCUCCGAGAAAAAUAACCUAAAUAACACAUUAAAGUACUAAAAAAUUUAAAUAAUUGACCCAAUAAAAUUGAUCAACGAACCAAGUUACCCUAGGGAUAACAGCGCAAUCUUCUCUAAGAGUCCUUAUCUACGAGAAGGUUUACGACCUCGAUGUUGGAUCAGGAUAUCCAAACAGU
rnacentral:rRNA from 1 species